rnacentral:tRNA from 1 species
ACUAUUUUGGCAGAAGAAUGUAUUGAAUUUAGAAUUCAUUUAUGUAAAUUUAAUUUUACAGAUAGUA